rnacentral:rRNA from 1 species
UACGGGGGGGGCAAGCGCUGUUCGGAAUUACUGGGCGUAAAGGGCUCGUAGGCGGCCAACUAAGUCGGAUGUGAAAUCCCCAGGCUUAACCUGGGAACUGCAUCCGAUACUGGAUGGCUUGAAUCCGGGAGAGGGAUGCAGAAUUCCAGGUGUAGCGGUGAAAUGCGUAGAUAUCUGGAGGAAUACCGGUGGCGAAGGCGGCAUCCUGGACCGGCAUUGACGCUGAUGAGCGAAAGCUAGGGGAGCAAACGGG